GGGGUCUACCACGAACCCGAGUGAGAUAUCUCACCCGGUGAGUUAACUCACUUCUGAAAUCAACGUGGCAACAGCGCAUUUCGUGUUUAUAUUUGGUAAAUUUUAGGGGAAUUCAAAUUUUAGGUUAAUUUAUAUUUACAAAUUUAAAAUUUGACAUCCAAACAAAAUUCAUACAAGUGCAAAAAAUAAUGUUUAAUUAACUUGAAAUGGUUAAAGAAAGGUGUGCAAGUUUGAAAUGUUUUUCUAUCAAGAGUCCGUACAUAAAACAUAUUGAAGCAAAAGAUAAUCGCAAACAACUGCUUUGUUGGUAGGACUCCCCGCUACAAUACAACAUAUUCAUUUAGUUCUUUAUGAAUUAAUAAGAUAUUUUUUUUCGUGGUAAACAUGACGAAUGUUGAGCCAAAUAAACAGCAUUUGUGGUCUGUGA